CGCAAGGCAGGAGGCUACCAUGCAGUCGAGCGGUAGCACAGAGAGCUUGCUCUCGGGUGACGAGCGGCGGACGGGUGAGUAAUGUCUGGGAAACUGCCUGAUGGAGGGGGAUAACUACUGGAAACGGUAGCUAAUACCGCAUAACGUCGCAAGACCAAAGAGGGGGACCUUCGGGCCUCUUGCCAUCAGAUGUGCCCAGAUGGGAUUAGCUAGUAGGUGGGGUAACGGCUCACCUAGGCGACGAUCCCUAGCUGGUCUGAGAGGAUGACCAGCCACACUGGAACUGAGACACGGUCCAGACUCCUACGGGAGGCAGCAGUGGGGAAUAUUGCACAAUGGGCGCAAGCCUGAUGCAGCCAUGCCGCGUGUAUGAAGAAGGCCUUCGGGUUGUAAAGUACUUUCAGCGGGGAGGAAGGUGCUGAGGUUAAUAACCUCAGCAAUUGACGUUACCCGCAGAAGAAGCACCGGCUAACUCCGUGCCAGCAGCCGCGGUAAUACGGAGGGUGCAAGCGUUAAUCGGAAUUACUGGGCGUAAAGCGCACGCAGGCGGUCUGUCAAGUCGGAUGUGAAAUCCCCGGGCUCAACCUGGGAACUGCAUUCGAAACUGGCAGGCUAGAGUCUUGUAGAGGGGGGUAGAAUUCCAGGUGUAGCGGUGAAAUGCGUAGAGAUCUGGAGGAAUACCGGUGGCGAAGGCGGCCCCCUGGACAAAGACUGACGCUCAGGUGCGAAAGCGUGGGGAGCAAACAGGAUUAGAUACCCUGGUAGUCCACGCCGUAACGAUGUCGACUUGGAGGUUGUGCCCUUGAGGCGUGGCUUCCGGAGCUAACGCGUUAAGUCGACCGCCUGGGGAGUACGGCCGCAAGGUUAAAACUCAAAUGAAUUGACGGGGGCCCGCACAAGCGGUGGAGCAUGUGGUUUAAUUCGAUGCAACGCGAAGAACCUUACCUACUCUUGACAUCCAGAGAACUUAGCAGAGAUGCUUUGGUGCCUUCGGGAACUCUGAGACAGGUGCUGCAUGGCUGUCGUCAGCUCGUGUUGUGAAAUGUUGGGUUAAGUCCCGCAACGAGCGCAACCCUUAUCCUUUGUUGCCAGCGUCCGGCCGGCACUCAAAGGAAGACUGCCAGUGAUAACUGGGAGGA
rnacentral:rRNA from 1 species